rnacentral:rRNA from 1 species
AGCGAACGCUGGCGGCAGGCCUAACACAUGCAAGUCGAACGAAGUCUUCGGACUUAGUGGCGGACGGGUGAGUAACACGUGGGAACGUGCCUUUAGGUUCGGAAUAACUCAGGGAAACUUGUGCUAAUACCGAAUGUGCCCUUCGGGGGAAAGAUUUAUCGCCUUUAGAGCGGCCCGCGUCUGAUUAGCUAGUUGGUGGUGUAACGGACCAACAAGGCGACGAUCAGUAGCUGGUCUGAGAGGAUGAUCAGCCACACUGGGACUGAGACACGGCCCAAACUACUACGGGAGGCAGCAGUGGGGAAUCUUGCGCAACGGGCGAAAGCCUGACGCAGCCAUGCCGCGUGAAUGAUGAAGGUCUUAGGAUUGUAAAAUUCUUUCACCGGGGACGAUAAUGACGGUACCCGGAGAAGAAGCCCCGGCUAACUUCGUGCCAGCCGCCGCUGUAAAAC